GGCGGCGUGCUUAACACAUGCAAGUCGAACGCGAAAGGGACUUACGGUCCUGAGUAAAGUAGGCGCACGGGUGAGUAACGCGUGGAUAAUCUGCCCUUAUGAUCGGGAUAACAGUUGGAAACGGCUGCUAAUACCGGAUACGCUCAAAAUGAACUUUUUGAGGAAAGAUGGCCUCUGCUUGCAUGCUAUCACGUAAGGAUGAGUCCGCGUCCCAUUAGCUUGUUGGCGGGGUAACGGCCCACCAAGGCAACGAUGGGUAGCCGAUUUGAGAGGAUGAUCGGCCACACUGGAACUGAAACACGGUCCAGACUCCUACGGGAGGCAGCAGUGGGGAAUAUUGCGCAAUGGGCGAAAGCCUGACGCAGCGACGCCGCGUGAGGGAUGAAGGUUUUCGGAUCGUAAACCUCUGUCAGAAGGGAAGAAACUACGUUGUGCUAAUCAGCAGCGUACUGACGGUACCUUCAAAGGAAGCACCGGCUAACUCCGUGCCAGCAGCCGC
rnacentral:rRNA from 1 species